CAGUAGGAUAGGCGAAGCGUGCGAUUGGAUUGCACGUCUAAGCAGUAAGGCUGAGUAUUAGGCAAAUCCGGUACUCAUUAAGGCUGAGCUGUGAUGGGGAGAAGACAUUGUGUCUUCGAGUCGUUGAUUUCACACUGCCGAGAAAAGCCUCUAGAUAGAAAAUAGGUGCCCGUACCACAAACCGACACAGGUAGUCAAGAUGAGAAUUCUAAGGUGAGCGAGCGAACUCUCGUUAAGGAACUCGGCAAAAUGACCCCGUAACUUCGGGAGAAGGGGUGCUCUUUAGGGUUAACGCCCAGAAGAGCCGCACAUACCAGGGGGUAGCGACUGUUUAUUAAAAACACAGGACUCUGCUAAGUGGUAACACGAUGUAUAGAGUCUGACACCUGCCCGGUGCUGGAAAGUCAAAAGGAGAAGAGUUAUAAGCUUUGAAUGGAAG
rnacentral:rRNA from 1 species